rnacentral:rRNA from 1 species
UACGUAGGGGGCUAGCGUUGUCCGGAAUCAUUGGGCGUAAAGCGCGUGUAGGCGGUCCGGUAAGUCCGCUGUGAAAGUCGAGGGCUCAACCCUCGAAUGCCGGUGGAUACUGUCGGGCUUGAGUACGGGAGAGGCGAGUGGAAUUCCUGGUGUAGCGGUGAAAUGCGCAGAUAUCAGGAAGAACACCCGUGGCGAAAGCGGCUCUCUGGAAUGGUACUGACGCUGAGACGCGAAAGCGUGGGGAGCGAACAGG